rnacentral:siRNA from 1 species
UGUAGAUGUCCUGCACACUUGCCU